rnacentral:rRNA from 1 species
AGAGUUUGAUCCUGGCUCAGGAUGAACGCUAGCGGUAGGCCUAACACAUGCAAGUCGAACGGUAACAUGAGAGCUUGCUCUUGAUGACGAGUGGCGGACGGGUGCGUAACACGUAUGCAACAUACCCUUUACAGGGGGAUAGCCCAGAGAAAUCUGGAUUAAUACCCCAUAAUAUCAUGGAUUCGCAUGUUUCUAUGAUUAAAACUCCGGUGGUAAAGGAUUGGCAUGCGGCCCAUUAGUUUGUUGGUGAGGUAAUGGCUCACCAAGACUACGAUGGGUAGGGGGUCUGAGAGGAUGAUCCCCCACACUGGUACUGAAACACGGACCAGACUCCUACGGGAGGCAGCAGUGAGGAAUAUUGGUCAAUGGACGAAAGUCUGAACCAGCCAUACCGCGUGCAGGAAGACAGCCCUAUGGGUCGUAAACUGCUUUUGUUUGCCAAGAAACCUCCCCACGUGUGGGGAGCUGACGGGAGCAUAUCGAAUAAAGACCGGAUAACUCCGUGCCAGCUUCCGCAGGUAUACAGAAGGUUCAAGCGUUUAUCCGGAUUUAUUGCGUUGAAGGGUCCGUUAGCGCGAAAAUAAGUCACAGUCUGAAAUCCAGUGGCUCAUCCAUAAAAUUGGGAAGUGAUCCUUCUUGCUUGACUUUAAAAUUGUGCAAGGAAAAGGUGAUUUUGCCCCCAGCUCACAACGCAUAGAG